GACGAACGCUGGCGGCGUGCUUAACACAUGCAAGUCGAACGGAAAGGCCCUGCUUUUGUGGGGUGCUCGAGUGGCGAACGGGUGAGUAACACGUGAGUAACCUGCCCUUGACUUUGGGAUAACUUCAGGAAACUGGGGCUAAUACCGGAUAGGAGCUCCUGCUGCAUGGUGGGGGUUGGAAAGUUUCGGCGGUUGGGGAUGGACUCGCGGCUUAUCAGCUUGUUGGUGGGGUAGUGGCUUACCAAGGCUUGGACGGGUAGCCGGCCUGAGAGGGUGACCGGCGACAUUGCGACUGAGAUACGGCCCAGACGCCUACGGGAGGCAGCAGUGGGGAAUAUUGCAGAAUGGGCGGAAGCCUGAUGCAGCAACGCCGCGUGCGGGAUAACGUCCUUCGGGUGGUAAACCGCUUUCGCCUGUGACGAAGCGUGAGUGACGGUAAUGGGUAAAGAAGCCCCGGCUAACUACGUG
rnacentral:rRNA from 1 species